UGGGGAAUAUUGGACAAUGGGGGCAACCCUGAUCCAGCAAUGCCGCGUGAGUGAAGAAGGCCUUCGGGUUGUAAAGCUCUUUUGCCUGUGACGAUGAUGACGGUAACAGGAGAAUAAGCCCCGGCUAACUUCGUGCCAGCAGCCGCGGUAAUACGAAGGGGGCAAGCGUUGUUCGGAUUUACUGGGCGUAAAGGGCGCGUAGGCGGUUUAACAAGUUAGGCGUGAAAGUCCUGGGCUUAACCUAGGGACUGCGUUUGAUACUGUUAGGCUUGAAUGUGAGAGAGGAUGGCGGAAUUCCCAGUGUAGAGGUGAAAUUCGUAGAUAUUGGGAAGAACACCAGUGGCGAAGGCGGCCAUCUGGCUCAUGAUUGACGCUGAGGCGCGAAAGCGUGGGGAGCAAACAGG
rnacentral:rRNA from 1 species